rnacentral:rRNA from 1 species
CCUACGGGAGACAGCAGUGGGGAAUAUUGCGCAAUGGGCGAAAGCCUGACGCAGCGACGCCGCGUGAGGGAUGAAGGUCUUCGGAUCGUAAACCUCUGUCAGCAGGGAAGAACGGUCACUGUGCUAAUCAGCAGUGAAUUGACGGUACCUGCAAAGGAAGCACCGGCUAACUCCGUGCCAGCAGCCGCGGUAAUACGGAGGGUGCGAGCGUUAAUCGGAAUUACUGGGCGUAAAGCGCUCGUAGGCGGUAUGUCAAGUCAAGGGUGAAAUCCCCGCGCUCAACGUGGGAACUGCCUUUGAAACUGGCAAACUGGAGUGGGUGAGAGGAUAGUGGAAUUCCAGGUGUAGGAGUGAAAGCCGUAGAUAUCUGGAGGAACAUCAGUGGCGAAGGCGACUAUCUGGCACAUAACUGACGCUGAGGAGCGAAAGCGUGGGUAGCAAACAGGAUUAGAUACCCUGGUAGUC